ACUCAAAUGAAUAGACGGGGGCCCGCACAAGCGGUGGAGCAUGUGGUUUAAUUCGAUGCAACGCGAAGAACCUUACCUGGGUUUGAAAUAGUCAAGAAAAGUACGAGAAAUCGUCUUCCAGCAAUGGCUUGAUUACAGGUGCUGCAUGGCUGUCGUCAGCUCGUGUCGUGAGAUGUUGGGUUAAGUCCCGCAACGAGCGCAACCCUUGCCUUUAGUUGCCAGCAUUCAGUUGGGCACUCUAGAGGGACUGCCGGUGUUAAACCGGAGGAAGGUGGGGAUGACGUCAAGUCCUCAUGGCCCUUAUAUCCAGGGCUACACACGUGCUACAAUGGCGGUCACAAAGGGCAACAGCAAAGUCGCGAGAUGAAGCUAAUCCCAGAAAAGCCGUCCAAGUUCGGAUUGCAGUCUGCAACUCGACUGCAUGAAGUUGGAAUCGCUAGUAAUCGUGGAUCAGAAUGCCACGGUGAAUACGUUCCCGGGCCUUGCACACACCGCCCGU
rnacentral:rRNA from 1 species